CGGGGUGUAGCGCAGGGGUAGCGCGCAUGUCUUGGGAACAUGAUGUCGCAGGUUCAAAUCCUGUCACCCCGA
rfam:Mucispirillum schaedleri ASF457 genomic scaffold acYAd-supercont1.1, whole genome shotgun sequence.